GACGAACGCUGGCGGCGUGCCUAAUACAUGCAAGUCGAACGCAGUUGCGAACGGGUGAGUACCGCGUAGGUAACUGCCUCAUAGCGGGGGAUAACUGUUGGAAACGAUAGCUAAUACCUCCUACUGUGAGAUGGACCUGCGUUGUAUUAGCUAGUUGGUGAGGUAAAGGCUCACCAAGGGGACGAUACAUAGCCGACCUGAUAGGGUGAUCGGCCAAACUGGGACUGAGAAACGGCCCAGACUCCUUCGGGAGGGAGCAGUAGGGAAUCUUCGGGAAUUGACGGAAGUCUGACCGAGCAAAGCCGCGUGAGGGAAGAAGGGUUUCGGAUCGUAAAGCUCUGUUGGUAGAGAAGCGGUAUCUAACCAGAAAGGGACGGCUAACUACGUGCCAGCAGCCGCGGUAAUUC
rnacentral:rRNA from 1 species